UUGGACCUAUAACCUGGUGUUAGAAGCCGAUAAGAAAGAUCAUCAUCCUUUUCUGAAAAGAAUUCCCUCUUCAGUUGAGAUGAUUAACCUUUUGGAGGCUUGACUUUUACUCCAGAAUUUAUGGAACAUGUAGCCCAAGGGUAUAAUGUGACAAUUUGAAAAAGAAAAAAGAGUGUAAAGGGGGCGAAUAGGAAAAUGAAGAGAGUGAAAGAGAGGAAAGAGAGAAGAAAGAAGAUUAAAGCAGACCUUCAGUGAGGUGGGAAAAAGGCCACAGUGCUGCAUCCAGAGAACGUGCUAGCAGAGCGGGGUUAUUGACGCUGCAUCCAGAGAACGUGCUAGCAGAGCAGGGUUAUUGACGGUCAGCAGGCGGAACCCUCAGUCCAGACUCAAUGGCGAGGAGCCAAGCUCCGGUGGUGCAGCUCCGGCCUGACAGCAGACGCUCCUGGGACCAGACACCUUCCAGGCUGGAUGUCAUGGGUUAAGACCUCACCCCUGGGGCCAGGAGGGAGACAGACAAGUAAGAACAAGGUCACCUCUGUAGGUGACCAACAAGCACUCAGGCGAAGGAAUCAGGACAGAAGGCCAGUUGCCAGAACUGGGGUCCCAGGGACUUGCAUCUUGGAGGGAGGCAGAGCACACCGAUGAGAAUUGGGUCACCAGCACAGGGCUGGACCAGCGGCAAGGCUUACAUGAGGACAACUUGCAGAACACUGGCUCAGGACUAAGUCCCUCUGUCCAUGGUCAAGGCUGCAUGGACAGGGAGCAGGGGGGAGUCCCGGGACUUGAGACGUGGAGGAAAGAUGGAGGACAAGACAGCAUGGCAUCUAGAAGAGGCCUCACAAAUGCCCAUUGAAGGAAAGCAUGACGGGCAGGGCAGCUGCUUUCCCCUGGGACUGAGAAACAGAUGCAGGCAAGGCCCUCGGCCACGACAAGAGACGAGGAGGAGGCCAGGGGAAGGGGUCAAGACACGGAAAUCUUAGAGGCUACGUCUGGACAGGAAAUAAGAGAGACUGGGUGCUGGGUGGCAGUCCCAAGGAUGAGCUGAAGGAUGGGGACAUUCUGCACAGGU
rnacentral:lncRNA from 9 species